UACCCAACACUACAAUAUUAAUCAGAGUGAAAACAAUGCCAUUGCACGGGCUUAUUGUUAUUUUAGUUGUUUUAUUCGGUCCUAGUGGAGUGAUAUUGGGAGAUUUGGGGUCUGGAAGGCCCCAUGCCCUUCUGCGCUGGCUGGGGCACUUCUGCAAUCUGGAAUAGGAUUAUAGUUUCGCCCGCAAACCCGAAUCGGCAAGUCUCAAGCUGAUUUUUGGCUAAACACCGCAGCAACAACUUUCAACUUUGAAUAGAAAUGAUGAAGAUGGUCUUAAAGUGCUACGAAAAAAGUAGGGAAAGCCAGGGAAAGACCAAACCUAACCUGCCCAAAGGUUUGCCCAGCAUGGGGAGACGCCACAAACAACACUGCCACCAUCCGAUGCGGAGCUCGGCGUGGCAGCUGCAACUGCUGCUGCCCGCGGUGCUGCUGCCGCUGCUCCUGUUGGCCACUCUCGGUCUUGCGUGCCGCGUCUCGGAGUUCUCCUGCAAGGGCAGCGGGAACAGUGGCAACAUUUGCGUUCCUCUGGACAAAUACUGCGAUGGACGCAGCGACUGUGCCGAUGGCAGCGACGAGCCCAAACAUUGUUCGGUGUGCAAUCGUACAUAUUACGGGGAUAUUGGACGCACCUAUGCCAUAAAAGUGCCAACGCCACAGUGGAAUAAAUUGCCGUUCCUCUGUCACUUGACAUUCACAGCAUCCGGUCAUGAUCAAGGCGACAUCGUUCAGAUCAUCUUUGAUGGCUUUACGGUGGGACGCUUCGACGAAGGCAUGGUCGAUACGGAUGUGGAUGGCUAUGAAACGAAUCUAAGUCCCACGGGCGAGCUGCCCGGCUGCCCCGAGGGCUUCAUGCAGCUCAGCGAAUUGGGACGCCCGUUCACCGGGGGCUCGUGGUGCGGCAAGGCCACAGGACCGCAAUUGUAUUUCAGCGAAACAUCAACGGUAACGGCAUCUGUGAAGGUAUUUCAUCCGCCACGCAAUAUACGAGAUGAGAAGCCUUUUGAGUUCAGCAUAAGAUAUAAAUUUAUCAGCCAGUCGGAUGCAGUUGUAAGAUACGGUCUGCCCGAUAAGCCGCUCGAACUGGGCCGUGUCACACCUGGCACCUAUUGUACGAGGCAAUUCGAUGAAUGCUAUCGUAACAAGUGUCGCCUGCAAAGUCCAAAUUAUCCUGGUAUGUAUCCGAGGAAUGUUACCUGCUACUGGACCAUACGACAGAAAGAAGUUCCCACCAGCAAACAUGCCAUGAUUGCCGUUAGCCAGGAGAAUCAGCACAAGGCCUUAGUGAAGCGGUCAAUUGCCAGCUUCAAUAAGACCUCACGCUCCAUACGCGCCUGGUCGGACUGCACGGGCGAACGUGAUCAUCUCAUCUUCUAUGACGGCAGCUCCACCAACGAUCCCGUGCUGGCCAAAUACUGCGGCGGCGAUUGGUUGCCACGCGUCGUGUCACGUGGCGCAGAAAUGCUGGUCGCCUUCCACUCGAGCCCCUUCUCGGCCCCGUUGCAGCAGGGCAUACCGAAUCGGGGCUUCGAACUGGAUGUGGACAUACUCUUCACCGACUCGGACUCCUACGACUUUGCCCAGGGCACCAAGAACCUCUGCGAGUUCCACAUAAAUGCCUCGAAUCCAGAUGAUGUGCUAUUCUCGCGUCGCGGCCGCAUGGGACGCAUUGUGAGUCCGCGUCACACGCUUCCGCCGAACACAACGUGCACGUACCACUUUCACGGAUAUCCUGGUGACCUGAUUUGGUUAUCGUUCACCAGCUACAAUCUGCAGAUCCUGCAGCAGGCGAUACACGACAACAAUACGCUGGGACGGAGCGAUCUGCCGCCUUGGAUAACCCGCCUGCGGAUGUGGGACAGCUAUGGCACAUAUGUGCCCAUGAAAUCGACAAGUUCAACCACCGGACAGCCGCCACCGCCGCCGCCAGUGGCCUCCUCGGCGGACGGGGGGAAGCCCACGCUAUUGAACCAGAGCAACUACGGCAGCUACUACUAUAGUGCCAGUAAUCCGAAGCUGAAUCGAAAUCUGCGCGUCAAUAUCGACAAUGCCUGGAAUCCGGUGGACACGUACAUCUACGGACCCACACAGUCGAGUGUGUUCAACCAGGAGAACAAGUACAGCGGCUACCAGGGUGGUGCCGGUGGUGGUGCUGCCGGUGGUGGCGCAGCCGGUGGUGGCACAGGCAAGCAGUUGACCAGCGUCAAGGACAGCCUCAACUACAUUUCCGGCGGCAAGUCCUCCGUCAAAGAUGGCGGCUCUGGUGCCUCUGCUGCCGCCGUCCUCAGCUCCGACAGGAACAACGCCGUGGCGCUCAUGAGCACCAAGGGCAAGCGACGCCUCAUGCUGGAGAUCUACGACUACGAGACGCCUAAGCUGUGCGAUCACACGGCCAUCGGGAGCGGCGUGAGCGGCAGCAGCGCCCUGAUGGGCGGCAACAAGCAGCGGCCGUGCAGUCCGCUGGAGAGCUACGUGAGCACGGGCAGAGAUUUGAAACUGGAGUUCCACACGCAUACGGGAACAGCCUUGUUCCCGGCGCAGUUCGCUUUGAACUACGAGUUUGUGGACACGGAACAGGGUGGUGACACCUGGCCAGGCAGGCGAGGCGAGGAUCCAGUGCCGCCUCUAUGCACCCGAAUCUUUCGGAAGCGCAAAGGCAACAUCCAGGUGCCCCGGAACGUCUUCCUGUAUGGCCGAGGCGGGGCCAAGAACAUCACCUGCCUGUACAGGUUCGAGGCGGGUCCAUCGGAGCGGGUAAAGCUGGUGCUGCACAAUGUAUCCUUUGGCGAGGGCACCGCCUGCACCACCGACUCAGAUCUGCAUACGGGCCGGCCGCGCUGCAAUCAACUGGAUCCAGAGGGUCGCAUCACGGAGCUGCGACUCUUUGAUGUCCCCUUCCGAGAUGUCAAAAUCCAGCUGGGAUGCUUCUGCGACAACUCGAGUGCCCUGUACAGCAACGCACCGCUGACGUUCGUCUCCCACUCGCGGAUUAUGGAGCUCAGCUUCACGGUGACCCGACUCAACAUCUCCGAGGACUUUGCCGAUGUCUUUUUCUCCGCCUCGUACGAGUUCAAGCGCCAGCCGGACUGUCGCAAGCAAUUGAAGCUCAAGGGCGCUGGUGGCGAGGAUGAGCUCAAGUAUCCGCUGAAGACGCAAGAUGCCAGCUGCGAGGGCCUGGCCUGGUACAUCGAGGCCCAGUCCGCCGAACGGUCCCUCUUCGUCCAGACCUGGGGCGCCUAUCUACCUGUGGAUCCCACAUCGGAGGAUGCCAUGCGCUGUCACACCAAAAACCGUCUGAUGAUCUACUCGGGCAGGCCGCUCAAGCCCAUGCGAGUGGUGUGCCCCGCCCAGAGUGGGCCGAGGCCAAUGUCCUUGCACAUCUUCUCCGAGGACUGGACCAACGGACAGCCUUUGUUCAUGAACAAGCCCAUCAGUCUGGUGCUGGAGCCCAUACUAAAGGAGCCCGGCGAUAUAGCCUUCACAUGGCUGGAGAUACACCGCACCAAGAAUGCGCUGCUGCAGCAGUUGGACCUGCAUGUGAACGCAAGCGUGACCACGGGCCUGGGCUCCGGCUCUGGCUCUGGCUCUCAGCCCUCUGGCCAUAGUUCUGGCUCUGGCGGAGUGGUCGGCACGGGCAGUGCUGGAGUGGCCGGGGCUGGUGGAGUAGGUGGUGGUGGAACUGCCGGCGCUGGAGGCUCAGCAAGCGGUGCUACGGCCAACGAAACCCUGAACGAAUUUGGUUUCUAUCCCAAGGAGUCAGAUUGCGAAUACAAAUGUCCUGAAAUUGAUGCAUGCAUAGCAGCCAGCCUGUGGUGUGAUGGUCAUCACAACUGCCCCAGCGGCUUCGAUGAAUCGGAGGAGGAAUGCGGCACCGCCCGUAAGCUGCUGGAGUUGCCUGGCGGCGUCUUUGCGGCCCUCGGAUGCAUCGCUGCCGCUCUGACCGCAUGCCUAAUCUUCUGCAUGUUCGGGCUGAUGCGAAAGCGCAAAAAGAGUGUGGUGCAGAAGGGUGGCGGCGUUGGCGGCGUUGGAGGCGUGGGCGUGGGCAUUGGCUUCAUGAAUGGCGCCAGCAAUGGAAAUGUAUCGGCCGCCAGCAUCGGCACCCUGAAGAAGGACUUCAAGAAGGAGGCCCUGUUCAUCGAUCCGGCCUCCUGACACGGACUCCAGCCGGUCGAGUACAUACAUGUGGAUCGGGAGACCACCGUGUGAUAUGUUGCCGCCGGCUGUGGCAUGCCCUACGACGAGCACCUGGAGCUGGGAAUGGAAAUGGCCUGACCAAGCGAUCAGCAGAGUGCCCUCGACACAGUUCAGGGUCUGGCCUGGAGAUUUUAAAGCUACUGAGAAUGACGAUGAAGGUAUAUGAAUGGAUUGGAGGCAUGAACACUAUAAAAAACUAAAUUGAUCUUAUUUUCUUAUUUUUUAAUUGUUUUUUAAAAUGUUUGUAGCUGCAAUACAUCAUAUUCCUAACUUAACAAAAAUAGAAUAGAAUAAAAUAUAGAAAAAAACAAAAAUGUAUGCAAGCCCUAGCAUUUAAGCCAUGGCAUGGCCCAUAACCCAUUUAAACAAUCAAACUUUGGCAGUUGAUAGGAUUAAGCAAACACCAAAAAGAAAAUGCAAAAAAGCAAAAAAGCUAAAAAAAAAAAGACAAAAGUACUUUAUUUUAUAGACAGUAAAACUAGGAAAAUAGAAAAAAUAAAUAUUAAGACCUUCGGUGGUCUGCAAUGAAAAUUUUAAAAAUGUAAGAGCCCUGCCAUAUGCAGACAAAAUCCAUUAAAAUUGCAACUUCCAUAAAACAUAUAUAUAAUUUAGUCACCAUUAAAAACCAGAAAAAGAGAAAGAAGGAAAUAUAUACACGAAUUAAAUCAAAUAUUUUCAGUUGCAUUUUUUGGUAGAAAAUAACCCAAAUAUUUAUAGCCGAAAAAAGGAAGAACAAAACAAAAGGGACGGAACGAUGUGCACUUUUUACAAUUUUAUGAAAAAUAAUGAAUUAUUAUUUCCCAAACACAGACACAAGCAAACAUACAUAUAUGAUAUUUUACACACACAUUUGUAGUAUAAGAGACAAAAUAACAAUGAAAUAUUCGAUAUACAUACAUAUACGAGUAUAUACUCGUACAUAGAAGCAAUGGCAAGAGAAAAUGCCAAAAAAAAUAAACGUAGUUUUAAGAGCAGCGCCCAAGCUGUUACUAUUUCCUUGGCCACCAUCGUCGUCGUCGUCGUAUACAUCAUCUCAAUCAUCAGUUCGGGGUUCAGUUCCUUCUCUCAAUCCAACCAAACUAUGGUAAUUUCUGUGCCAACUGUGUUUAAAGUAGAAUUCGAAGAUAAAAUAUGACAGCGCAUAAAACUCUACACUACAUGUAAUUUAUUUGAAAUGUUCGAAAAUAAAGUGGAGAAAAUAUGGAGAGAAUGACGGCGGAAGAAAAGGAAAAUUGUGAGAGUGUGAGAUGGUAAAUAAUAAUAAAAUACAGACAGCUGUGUAAAUAGUCGAAAUGCGUACACACUACGCAUAUUUAAUUAAAAAAAGAAAUAAACAAAAAAGAAAAAACUGCAUACAUACAUAGAUAAAGAUACACAAAAGAAAAACACAAAGACAUAGGGAAAGGGAAAGGGGAAGCGCAGAGAACUCUCUCGCAAUUGCAUUUCCCCUAUUUUUUUUUUUAGUAAUAAAUUCUCCUCAGUUUGCAGUUCGAUAUAUAGAGUAAAGUAAGUUUCACUUGUAUGAUAAAUAUAACUAAACCAAACAUUUAUAUAGAGAUAUUAUACGUACAUAUAUGAAAAGGAAAAACCUAAAAUAAUGACGCACUGAAUCAAAUAGAUGAAACGAGUAUUUAAAAACCAUGACAAUUAAAACCAAAAAGAACUUUAAACAAAAACGAAAUUCAAAAUA